rnacentral:rRNA from 1 species
UACGAAGGGGGCUAGCGUUGUUCGGAUUUACUGGGCGUAAAGCGCACGUAGGCGGAUUGGUCAGUUAGAGGUGAAAUCCCGAAGCUCAACUUCGGAACUGCCUUUAAUACUGCCAGUCUAGAGUCCGGAAGAGGUAAGUGGAACUCCUAGUGUAGAGGUGGAAUUCGUAGAUAUUAGGAAGAACACCAGUGGCGAGGGCGGCUUACUGGUCCGGUACUGACGCUGAGGUGCGAAAGCGUGGGGAGCAAACAGG